AGUGAACGCUGGCGGUAGGCCUAACACAUGCAAGUCGAGCGGCAGCACAGUAAGAGCUUGCUCUUACGGGUGGCGAGUGGCGGACGAGUGAGGAAUACAUCGGAAUCUACUUUUUCGUGGGGGAUAACGUAGGGAAACUUACGCUAAUACCGCAUACGACCUACGGGUGAAAGCAGGGGAUCUUCGGACCUUGCGCGAUUGAAUGAGCCGAUGUCGGAUUAGCUAGUUGGCGGGGUAAAGGCCCACCAAGGCGACGAUCCGUAGCUGGUCUGAGAGGAUGAUCAGCCACACUGGAACUGAGACACGGUCCAGACUCCUACGGGAGGCAGCAGUGGGGAAUAUUGGACAAUGGGCGCAAGCCUGAUCCAGCCAUACCGCGUGGGUGAAGAAGGCCUUCGGGUUGUAAAGCCCUUUUGUUGGGAAAGAAAAGCAGCAGGUUAAUACCCCGCUGUUCUGACGGUACCCAAAGAAUAAGCACCGGCUAACUUCGU
rnacentral:rRNA from 1 species